CCGGGCAGCGUGCAAGGGUUGUGGUGGCACGGAGCAAUGCAUUGCCUUUUGGGACUAAAAAGACCCACGGCUCCCUGCUGGAAGUGCAAGAGGAAUUUAGCGUGGAACCAAUCCAAUAUGAGGAAGUCGAUAUCCGACUGGAGGAGGAACUCAUUUCCUGAAACUGUUGUGAUCUGGGGAGGACAUGGGCACAAACAGAUACCAGGCACUAAGCAAGUUACCCACCAGAGGACAUCUUAAUUUGGAGAUGCUCUUGGAUCCCAGAUGGUGAUGUGAACUACAAGGGGUGUUGCAGUAACAAAGCAGACAUGUUAUCUACGUGGGGGGUGGGAUUAUCCAGGAUAACCUGAUGGAUUUCUCCAAUUUAUAACCACUACCACAUCAGGUAUUUCCACAAGUAAAUCAACAAAAUCACAUAGACAUCAGUACAUUUUAAAUGCCUACUAUUAUUCUAUUAUUCUGAACCUCCUAAACACACAACUGCCUUUGAGGUUUAUUCACCUGGAGUUUUCCCUGACCUCUGCUUGGCUGUAAUUGAAGAACUCAAUUUAUAUUGCUAAAAAAUACUUACAUUAUUGUCUGCCUACCUUGGUUCUACUAAUAAUUUGGCUUUAAAAAUCCUAUAAAGUUAGAGAUGAAG